GGCCGACUAGCUCAGUUGGUUAGAGCGUGGUGCUAAUAUAGCGACGCCAAGGUCGUCGGUUCGAUCCCGGCGUUGGCCA
rnacentral:tRNA from 1 species